AUGUCCCACGCGCCGCUCAGAAACGCCGCCGCCUCCUUCAAACCGCUCCUCCCGUCUCCCCGCUCCCGCCUCAGCACCAAGCCCCUCAACUCCGGCGCCGCCCCCUCCCCCCGCCGCAGCGUCUCCGCUUCCGCAUCCUCCCGCCGUGACUUCCUCCUCCUCAUCCCCUCCCUCGCCGCCGCCUCCGCGGUGCUUCGCGCGCCCCCCGCCGCUGCCGCCGACGACCAGGCGUCCCCCCCAUCGCCUCCCGCCGAGUCUCCGGCCCCCGCCCCGCCGCCCCCGACGAAGGAGAAGGAGCCCGAGGGCGACGAGUCGGCCGUGUCGAGGGUGUACGACGCGACCGUCAUCGGGGAGCCGCAGGCGGUGGGGAGGGAGGCCAAGGGCCGGGUGUGGGACAAGCUGGCGGCCGCCAGGGUCGUCUACCUCGGCGAGGCCGAGCUCGUGCCCGACCCCGACGACCGCGUCCUCGAGCUCGAGAUCGUCACCAAGCUCGCCGCCCGCUGCGCCGACGCCCAGAGGCGCAUGUCCCUCGCGCUCGAGGCCUUCCCCUGCGACCUCCAGCAGCAGCUCGACGACUUCAUGCGCGGAAGGAUUGAUGGCAGCAUCUUAAAGUUGUACACGUCGCACUGGCCAUCAGAGCGUUGGAAGGAGUAUGAACCUCUUCUAAAUUUCUGUCGUGAUAAGGGAAUUAAGCUUGUUGCUACUGGAACCCCACUGCAGGUGAAAAGAACUGUCCAAGCAGAGGGGAUUGGAGGCCUUUCAAAAGCAGAAAGAAAGGAAUAUGCUCCUCCGGCAGGCUCUGGCUUCAUUUCUGGUUUUAGGUCUGGCCGGUCAUUCAUAGAGAAUAUUACAUCAACUCGUGACUCUCCUUUUGGUCCGAAUUCAUAUUUAUCAGCACAAGCAAGGGUAGUUGAUGAUUAUACCAUGUCUCAGAUAAUUAUGAAAGAACUUAAUGGUAAAGAUCCUCCAGGGAUACUAAUUGUUGUGGCAGGUGCAAGCCAUCUUAUAUAUGGGUCACGAGGAACUGGUGUUCCUGCCAGAGUAUCUAAAAAGUUGCCGAAGAAAGAUCAUGUUGUGGUACUACUUGAUCCUGAAAGACAGAGUAUAAGGAGGGAAGGUCAAAUCCCAGUUGCUGAUUUCUUAUGGUAUUCAGCGGCUAAAAUUUGCAGUAGAAAUUGCUUUGACCGUGCCGAAAUUGCUAGAGUUAUGAAUGCUGCUGGCAGGAGGCCUGAAGCUUUACCCCAGGAUCUUCAGAAAGGAAUAGAUCUUGGAGUUGUUUCUCCUGAGAUAUUGCAGAACUUCUUUGACCUUGACAAAAACCCUGUUAUGACUGAACUAAUUCACCGAUUCCAAGGUUUCCGGGAAAGAUUGCUCGCAGACCCAAAAUUCCUUCAAAGAUUAGCAAUUGAAGAGGCUAUAUCAAUUUCAACCACUCUACUAGCACAGUACGAAAGACGGAAAGGGCGAUUUUUUGAGGAAAUUGACUAUGUCCUCACUGAUACUAUUAGAGGGUCUGUUGUCGAUUUUUUUACAGUGUGGCUACCUGCUCCAACUAUUUCAGUGCUUUCUUUUACCGAUGAUGAUUCUGGUCAGAGCUUGGGCUUUGUCAAAGGCCUUCUGGGAUCAUUGCCAGAUAACGCGUUCCAAAAGAAUACCUUUGGUCGGAAUUGGAAUAUGAACCAGAGGGUCGCCGCAGUAAUAGUUGGUGGUUUGAAACUUGCUGGUGUUGGGUUUAUUUCUGGUGUUGGGGCUGGAGUUUCCUCAGAUCUCCUGUAUGCUGCUCGAGGAUUGCUGAAACCUUCAGCGAGUGUGGGAGCAGGGCGAAAGAGAGCUCCUGUUUUGAAGUCGGCAGCUGUUUAUAGUUGCUUUCUUGGAACAUCAGCAAAUUUGCGGUAUCAGAUCAUUGCUGGCUUAUUGGAGCAUCGACUAGGAGAGAGCCUGGCAACUCAGUAUAAUCAGCCACUUCUUGCUGGUCUCUUGUCCUUUGUAGCAAGGACAGUCAACUCAUACUUGGGAACACAGCAAUGGGUUGAUCUUGCUCGGUACACUGGAGUACAGAAGAUUCAGGAACAGCUUCCUUCCGAUGAGGUCACCACACCACCUGAAACAUCCCAGUUAGAGGACGGUAGAACCGAUGUACAGAACCCGGAUGAGAGCAGCAGCAGCAACGCAGACCGAUCGAGUGACCCGACCAAGUGA
rnacentral:rRNA from 1 species